ensembl:lncRNA
CUUCAUGUUAAACACUAAGUACAGUACUUCAUGUAUAUAACAUUAAGGUGUUUCUUACAUUCAGAAUUAUAAUUGUAAGUAGCAGACUGCUAUAAGUACCCCUCUGGAGGGAGUGAUAAAGUUUGAAAUCGCGGGUGUGCCCCUUUGUGCCUCCACAGCGCGAUUGUGCUGUUGAGAUUUAUUGUGCUGUGGUACGUCUUUUUUCCCAACGUGUCCGAUACUGAAAUCAGUGCGACAUACUUAGCAAAAAGCGUGGGAAUUGUUGAUGCAGCUUCGUGAUAAGAAGUUAAAUUCCUCCGUCCAGCUGUUGUUAUAUUUGCAGCUAUAUUUAGUUUUUUCGCCGUAGCAUCACCUGAGCUUUCUAAUGCCAUUUUUAGUGACGCUUGAUUCAAAUUCCCCCGUCUACCUGCGCAGAUAUCAACUGUGCAACAGAGCUGUAGGUUGCCAGGUUGAGGUCACAAAUGGGAUCAAAAUUGUAUGAUGUAUCUAUUGUGUGAGUAGGAUUCGUUUCAUACAAUAUUUGGCAGCUGGACAAUAAUGUAUUUAUGUGAUUAUUCAUAUUACGAGAUAGGGCCAUACAAAUUACUACGGGAGUUUUCCCGGGAGAAAUAACAAAACGGGAGGGGGGCGGGAGAUGGUUGUGAAAUACGGGAGACUCCCGGGAAAAACGGGAGUGUUGACAGGUAUGCUACCAGGCCAUAAGGAGACUGGUGGGGAACUGCCCAGCACUGAGGGGACGGACGAGGAUUCAGCUGUUUGAGGUCAAUCAGCAGAUGCUUUCUGUCUGGUACAACAACUACAGGAAGAAGCUGGAGGCAGAUGUGCUGGCUCUGAGUGUUCCCUUGCCUCAGAUCAGCAUGGUGUCUCACACUCAGCUUCCUGUCGCCAGGCAGAUGACAUCAAUGCCCUCUGCACCUGGGUCUUCGCUUAAACCUUUCCCCUACGUUGCAAAUCCUGAUCUGUCAGGUCAGGCCACACGACGUGGGCAGCGACCUCCUCCUCCUGCAUCAGCACCCGCUCUCUCUGCUCAACAGCCAGCGUCUCUCUCUGCUCCGCCGGCAGCAUCCCUCUCUGCUCCACCUCUGCCUACAUAAAGGACAUAUGAAGUGUCCUAAAUAAUUAUUACUACUAAAUAAUUAACUUUAUGUCUGUUCUUUAUUUGAGGACAUUUGUUUGCCAUCAUAGAGUUCAUGCAAACUGUCUUUAAAAUAUUUAUUCUUUAUUUUAGAACAUUUAAUGACUGUUCUUUUGUUUGAGAACAUUUAUUUGCCCUCUUAAAGGUUACAUUAAUAGAUCACAA